rnacentral:lncRNA from 10 species
UGGAGCCCGAGGUCCCCGCGCGGCCCGGGCCUGGCGCCCUGAGGGGAAGAGCGGCCCGGCCCGAGCCAUGACGGACGGGAUCCUAGGGAAGGCAGCCACAAUGGAGAUCCCUAUCCACGGGAACGGCGAAGCCAGGCAGCUUCCUGAAGAUGAUGGGCUGGAGCAGGACCUCCAGCAGGUGAUGGUGUCAGGACCCAACCUCAAUGAAACCAGCAUUGUGUCUGGUGGCUAUGGGGGCUCUGGUGAUGGACUCAUCCCCACAGGUAUGAAUGUUCAGAAACAGGAAUCUUGGGUGGAGGAGGGGACAGGAAUGGUUUGGGGAAGCAUAGGAUAUGUCUAGGAAAGCUUGAAUUAUGUCUGGAGAUCUUGGGAACUUCUGCUUGUAGGAACCUCAUGGACUCUCCUCAGCCCAAAAGCAACUCCCAGCGUUGUCCAUCCAUUUCCCUUUUGCCACUUAGCCCCUGAAAUGGCUCAUUUGUCCUUUCCCUGCCACCACCUGAGUCAAGUUAAGACCUGCUUCACAGGAAUGCCCCCCCUCUACAGCUUGAGGCUGAGUUGGAACUUUGUGAAGCUUCUCAGAAUUUUUAGAUUCUAAAGUUUAGAGGAACAAACAGCCCUGAAUCUCACACUAAGAUUCCACAUGGGAAUGCAACCAGGUUUCUUGUUAUCAUGACCCACCAUCCUUGACUCCUGCUGCCCCCAAACUCAGUGUAUUUUCUUCUGUUUCCUCUGCCCCUGUACACCAACAACUCCCUGCAAACCCCUCCUCUAACCCCCAAGGAGGCCAUAUGUAUAUCAGGAUUUGGUUCUCACCGCGCAAAGUCCGAGUUCCUCCUAGUAAGCAGGAGCAUCCAGUUGUCUCUAGCAUCUCCUUCAGGGAAGUCAAUUUCAUGUGCUCGAAGAGAAGUAUGGGUGGGGCCACAGAGGUGUCUGGUGUAUCUGAGAGAGGCUGGUGUCAGAGAACUUGAUCCUUUAGGGUCUGGCCGCCAUCCAUCUCACAGCACCACUCCUUCUGGCCCUGGAGAUGAGGUGGCUCGGGGCAUUGCUGGAGAAAAGUUUGACAUCGUCAAGAAAUGGGGCAUCAACACCUAUAAGGUAGGAUUUAAGCACCUCUCCCUUCCCCAAAACUCCUUAUGGGUACCUUUUUCCCUUUUCUUCGUGAUCGUAAUAUCCCAUCUGUGGCUGAGAGUAGGAGCCUGGGGGGUGCUGGGGUAGAUACCUGUUGUGUGGGGAGGCUGUUAGGGUCUCUGAUUUAUUCCCCCAUUUCCCAAUCAGUGCACAAAGCAACUGUUAUCAGAACGAUUUGGUCGAGGCUCACGGACUGUGGACCUGGAGCUAGAGCUGCAGAUUGAGUUGCUGCGUGAGACGAAGCGCAAGUAUGAGAGUGUCCUGCAGCUGGGCCGGGCACUGACAGCCCACCUCUACAGCCUGCUGCAGACCCAGCAUGCACUGGGUGAUGCCUUUGCUGACCUCAGCCAGAAGUCCCCAGAGCUUCAGGUGCCUCACCCAGACCAAAGAGGGUGGGGGAACUGGGCAUGGGCCCUCCCAGGCAGUCAUUCCUCAUCCUCCCUCCCUCCUGCAGCCCACAGGGAGAACCCCUUCAGGGUGGGCCCAGCCCUACCCCCAGCAGCACUCACCUGUGGAGGCAGCCUAAGGGUUUGUACAGAGGUCCAGAAGUUGGAGGGGGUGGGGGAGGGGGCACACUAGGUGCCUCACAAAUAACCCCUCUCUGCACUGGGGAGAAUGCCUUCGUGCUCAGCCUAAUCAGAGCCCCUCCCCUGCUUGCCACACUAGCUCUCAGACUGUUCCAGUCUUGUGAACUUACCCAAGAAUGCCCACCACCCACAUUCCUACCCCAGGUAUCCCCAGGGUGAUCCCACUAACUUUCCGGCUAAGAGAGCCUUGCUGGAGGCAGUCCUUGGUUGUUCCAGUUUUGCUGGCUGUGUCCUCCCCGGGGAGGAGGGGAAUGAAGGGCUCUACAGCUUCAGUCAGGUAGGGAGUGUUAUUCAAGGUCUGUUCCUCCCUUCUGCCCUCAGGAGGAAUUUGGCUACAAUGCAGAGACACAGAAACUACUAUGCAAGAAUGGGGAAACGCUGCUAGGAGCCGUGAACUUCUUUGUCUCUAGCAUCAACACAUUGGUCACCAAGACCA